rnacentral:lncRNA from 1 species
GGCGGCAGCUCCGCCGCCGCCCGCGUAUGACGACGUCGCCGCCAGCGACGCUGUAUCUUGGAGCAUGGAUACGUAGGUGGCUCGAUUAGCGUGCAGCGCAUCAAGAUGCGGUUGCAGACCCGGAAGCAGCUCCACCGUCCGCUGCCACAGCGGGAUGACCUCGAGCUGACGUCAUCGUACAGCGGUGCCGUACAGCGUCACCGUAGGGUACGGUGGUUGGUAGAGCAGAGGCCGGUUGUGGGUAUUGCGGUGAUGCGGUUCAUACCCCGGGUCAGGACAGCCCCCCGUGUACGGCAGGCCAGGUAGGCAGGUAGGUAGGUAGGGCACUAGGGCAUUUGUUGCGACUAAUCCACUCCCCACCCCAUCCCGCCCCACCCCAUCCCACCUGCAUUCGCGGCACCUCCAGCAGCAACAGGUUCUGCACGUCCUCGACAGAGGUGUCCGGGGGACCCUGCGCGGGCGGAGGGGGAGGGUGGGAAAGCCACUGACUCCAGAGAACAACCCCCCAACAACAACGGCACCAUCAAAGGGCCCCUUGAGCUCGAAACAUGCUGUCAUUCAGUAGGCCGUAAUGAGAUAAAGAUAAGAGAGCGAGGGGGAGAGAGCGAGGGGGAGAGAGCGAGGGGGAGAGACAGGAACAAUCCUCACCCUAAAGCUGCCUAGUGCCUAGUUUUCUCUCUGAGGUGACCAGCAGAGGAGACCAGCAGCAGCACAGGCGCACCGAGCCCAGGUGAGAGCGAGGGAGUGAGGACGUCAACGUCCUCAUUUCCCCCCCUCCCCCCUCCCCCUAUCUCCCACACACACUAAACCCCCAGAGCCCCACCAGUAGAGACACACUGCGAUGUCGUACAGACGCGCUG